UACGGGGGGAGCAAGCGUUGUUCGGAUUUACUGGGCGUAAAGGGUGCGUAGGCGGCGUGACAAGUCACUUGUGAAAUCUCCGGGCUUAACUCGGAACGGUCAAGUGAUACUGUCGUGCUAGAGUACAGAAGGGGCAACUGGAAUUCUCGGUGUAGCGGUGAAAUGCGUAGAUAUCGAGAGGAACACCUGCGGCGAAGGCGGGUUGCUGGGCUGAUACUGACGCUGAGGCGCGAAAGCCAGGGGAGCGAACGGG
rnacentral:rRNA from 1 species